AUUGAACGCUGGCGGCAUGCCUUACACAUGCAAGUCGAACGGCAGCACGGGAGCAAUCCUGGUGGCGAGUGGCGAACGGGUGAGUAAAGUAUCGGAACGUGCCCAGUCGUGGGGGAUAACGUAGCGAAAGUUACGCUAAUACCGCAUACGAUCUAUGGAUGAAAGCGGGGGAUCGCAAGACCUCGCGCGAUUGGAGCGGCCGAUAUCAGAUUAGGUAGUUGGUGGGGUAAAGGCGCACCAAGCAGACGAUCGGUAGCUGGUCUGAGAGGACGACCAGCCACACUGGGACUGAGACACGGCCCAGACUCCUACGGGAGGCAGCAGUGGGGAAUUUUGGACAAUGGGCGAAAGCCUGAUCCAGCCAUGCCGCGUGCAGGAUGAAGGCCUUCGGGUUGUAAACUGCUUUUGUACGGAACGAAAAGGUUUGGCCUAAUAAGCUGAGCUCAUGACGGUACCGUAAGAAUAAGCACCGGCUAACUACGUGCCAGCCGCCGCAGUAA
rnacentral:rRNA from 1 species